CAAUAGCGUAUAUUAAAGUUGUUGCAGUUAAAAAGCUCGUAGUUGGAUUUCGGGGCAGCCUGGCUGGUCCGCCGCAAGGCGAGUACUGGUCAGCCGCCCUUCCUCUCGAAAGCCCCGACUGCUCUUCAUUGCAGUGGUCGGGUAGUUCGGGACGUUUACUUUGAAAAAAUUAGAGUGUUCAAGGCAGGCCUACGCCUGAAUACAUUAGCAUGGAAUAAUGGAAGAGGACCUCGGUCCUAUUUUGUUGGUUUCCAGGGCCGAAGUAAUGAUUAAGAGGGACAGUUGGGGGCAUUCGUAUUUAAUUGUCAGAGGUGAAAUUCUCGGAUUUAUGAAAGACGAACAACUGCGAAAGCAUUUGCCAAGGAUGUUUUCAUUAA
rnacentral:rRNA from 1 species